rnacentral:rRNA from 1 species
GAGUUUGAUCCUGGCUCAGGAUGAACGCUGGCGGUAUGCUUUACACAUGCAAGUCGUACGAGAGUUUUUAACUCAAGUGGCGGACGGGUGAGUAACACGUAAGAAUUUGCCUUUAGGAGGGGGACAACAAUUGGAAACAGCUGCUAAUACCCCAUAUGCUUUCGAGUGAAAUGGAAUUUUCCGCCUAAAGAGAAGCUUGCGGCUGAUUAGCUUGUUGGUGAGGUAAUGGCUCACCAAGGCGACGAUCAGUAUCUGGUUUGAGAGGACGAUCAGACACACUGGAACUGAGACACGGUCCAGACUCCUACGGGAGGCAGCAGUGGGGAAUUUUCCGCAAUGGGCGAAAGCCUGACGGAGCAAUACCGCGUGAGGGAUGACGGCCUAUGGGUUGUAAAC